rnacentral:rRNA from 1 species
AUUGAACGCUGGCGGCAUGCCUUACACAUGCAAGUCGAACGGUAACAGAUCUUCGGAUGCUGACGAGUGGCGAACGGGUGAGUAAUACAUCGGAACGUGCCUAGUAGUGGGGGAUAACUACUCGAAAGAGUGGCUAAUACCGCAUGAGAUCUACGGAUGAAAGCAGGGGAUCGCAAGACCUUGUGCUACUAGAGCGGCCGAUGGCAGAUUAGGUAGUUGGUGGGAUAAAAGCUUACCAAGCCGACGAUCUGUAGCUGGUCUGGGAGGACGAUCAGCCACACUGGGACUGAGACACGGCCCAGACUCCUACGGGAGGCAGCAGUGGGGAAUUUUGGACAAUGGGCGCAAGCCUGAUCCAGCAAUGCCGCGUGCAGGACGAAGGCCUUCGGGUUGUAAACUGCUUUUGUACGGAACGAAAAGCCCUGGGUUAAUACCCUGGGGUCAUGACGGUACCGUAAGAAUAAGCACCGGCUAACUACGUGCCAGCCGCCGCGGUAAGAC